ensembl:snRNA U2 U2 spliceosomal RNA
ACCUUUAUUUUAGCAAAGCUGAAGUUAAAAACAUGUGAUGUGUUCUUAUCAGUUUAAUAUCUGAUACGUCCCCUAUCUGGGGACCAUAUCUUAAAUUGAGGAACAGGGAGAUGGAAUAGGGGCUUGCUUCAUCCACUCUCUGCAUCGACCUGGUACUGUAGUACCUCCAGGAACGGAACUCAAGCG